GUGCUCGCUUCGGCAGCACGUGCACAAGUGGAACGACACAGAGAAGACUAGCACAGCCCCUGUGCAAGGGUGACACGCACAUUUGUGAAGCCUUCCAUAGGUUU